GAUGAAGAACGUAGCGAAAUGCGAUACGUAAUGUGAAUUGCAAAUUCAGUGAAUCAUCGAGUUUUUGAACGCACAUUGCGCCCCCUGGUAUUCCGGGGGGCAUGCCUGUCCGAGCGUCAUUGCUGCCCUCAAGCACGGCUUGUGUGUUGGGCCCCGUCCUCCGAUCCCGGGGGACGGGCCCGAAAGGCAGCGGCGGCACCGCGUCCGGUCCUCGAGCGUAUGGGGCUUUGUCACCCGCUCUGUAGGCCCGGCCGGCGCUUGCCGAUCAACCCAAAUUUUUAUCCAGGUUGACCUCGGAUCAGGUAGGGAUACCCGCUGAACUUAAGCAUAUCAAUAAGCGGAGGA
rnacentral:misc_RNA from 1 species